GAAAUGCGAUAAGUAAUGUGAAUUGCAGAAUUCCGUGAAUCAUCGAAUCUUUGAACGCACAUUGCGCCCUCUGGUAUUCCGGGGGGCAUGCCUGUCCGAGCGUCAUUGCGAACCCCUCAAGCACGGCUUGUGUGAUGGGCCCUCCCGCGUCUUGGUCGUCAAGACGGGCCCGAAAUGCAGUGGCGGCUUCGCGGUUAUCCGAUCAGUCAGAGCGUAUGGGGACUUUCUCUCUGUCACACGCCCGCGGCGCGGACCGACGCCUGUCGACCUUCAUUCAUCGUUUUCUCGGUUGACCUCGGAUCAGGUAGGGAUACCCGCUGAACUUAAGC
rnacentral:misc_RNA from 1 species